rnacentral:rRNA from 1 species
CCUACGGGGGGCAGCAGUCGAGAAUCAUUCACAAUGGGGGAAACCCUGAUGGUGCGACGCCGCGUGGGGGAAUGAAGGUCUUCGGAUUGUAAACCCCUGUCAUGUGGGAGCAAAUUAAAAAGAUAGUACCACAAGAGGAAGAGACGGCUAACUCUGUGCCAGCAGCCGCGGUAAUACAGAGGUCUCAAGCGUUGUUCGGAAUCACUGGGCGUAAAGCGUGCGUAGGCUGUUUCGUAAGGCGUGUGUGAAAGGCGCGGGCUCAACCCGCGGACGGCACAUGAUACUGCGAGACUAGAGUAAGGGAGGGGGAACCGGAAUGCUCGGUGGAGCAGUGAAAUGCGUAGAUAUCGAGAGGAACACUCGUGGCGAAGGCGGGUUCCUGGACAUUAACUGACGCUGAGGCACGAAGGCCAGGGGAGCGAAAGGGAUUAGAUACCCGAGUAGUC